rnacentral:rRNA from 1 species
AGUAUAAGCAUUAUACAGCGAAACUGCGAAUGGCUCAUUAAAUCAGUUAUCGUUUAUUUGAUAGUACCUUACUACUUGGAUAACCGUGGUAAUUCUAGAGCUAAUACAUGCUAAAAACCCCGACUCACGAAGGGGUGUAUUUAUUAGAUUAAAAACCAAUGCCCUUCGGGGCUCUUUGGUGAUUCAUAAUAACUUUUCGAAUCGCAUGGCCUUGCGCCGGCGAUGGUUCAUUCAAAUUUCUGCCCUAUCAACUUUCGAUGGCAGGGUCUUGGCCUGCCAUGGUUACAACGGGUAACGGAGGGUUAGGGCUCGACCCCGGAGAAGGAGCCUGAGAAACGGCUACUACAUCCAAGGAAGGCAGCAGGCGCGCAAAUUACCCAAUCCCGAUUCGGGGAGGUAGUGACAAUAAAUACUGAUACAGGGCUCUUUUGGGUCUUGUAAUUGGAAUGAGUACAAUUUAAAUCCCUUAACGAGGAACAAUUGGAGGGCAAGUCUGGUGCCAGCAGCCGCGGUAAUUCCAGCUCCAAUAGCGUAUAUUAAAGUUGUUGCAGUUAAAAAGCUCGUAGUUGAACCUUGGGCCUGGCUGGCCGGUCCGCCUCACCGCGUGCACUGGUUCGGCCGGGCCUUUCCCUCUGGGGAACCUCAUGGUCUUCACUGAUCGUGACGGGGAACCAGGACUUUUACUGUGAAAAAAUUAGAGUGUUCAAAGCAGGCCUAUGCUCGAAUACAUUAGCAUGGAAUAAUAAAAUAGGACGUGUGGUUCUAUUUUGUUGGUUUCUAGGACCGCCGUAAUGAUUAAUAGGGACAGUCGGGGGCAUCAGUAUUCAAUUGUCAGAGGUGAAAUUCUUGGAUUUAUUGAAGACUAACUACUGCGAAAGCAUUUGCCAAGGAUGUUUUCAUUAAUCAGGAACGAAAGUUAGGGGAUCGAAGACGAUCAGAUACCGUCGUAGUCUUAACCAUAAACUAUGCCGACUAGGGAUCGGACGGUGUUACUUAUUGACCCGUUCGGCACCUUACGAGAA